CAGUGCAAUGAUGAAAGGGCA
rnacentral:ncRNA from 4 species